rnacentral:lncRNA from 1 species
UCCACAUCCCCCUGCCUUUUCCGAGAAAAGGACAGUUAGUGCCUGGACCAGGACCAUCACACUGGGGACCGGCUUCUCUGCUCUCCCGUUAUGGGGGUCGGGGGAAUGAUGGGUCAAGGGUCUUCCGAAGAAAGCGAGAAAGGAACAGGCGCCUUCAAAAGCCCACUUGGCGAUGGGUUACAGUAAGAGUUUCAGAGUGCUGGCCACACCAAAGCAUCAGCCCUGGCUCUAAACUCCGUUACAGUAAGGAAUUACAAAUCCUGUGUUUGUACUCCAGGAAGUCUGCAUUAUCACGAGGAGCUUGGAAAGGAGGUAACACACUCAAGGCAAAUUUCAAGUAACUCAUCCUGGAGGCAGCUGCCUACUCUGCAGCUGUGGUUCUCCACCACAGAGAGAAGAAAAGGGAGGGAGAUGGAGUGCGCAGGUCUGAGAAGGCUUUCAUUCUGGAGCAUCUGCAGGAGCCUGCACCAUGGCCCAGUAGCACCCCUUUUUCUCCAUGAGCUGCUGGUGGGUUCCCCCCUCCCGGAUAGCGCCUCCUUCCAGAAAGAGGAUGUGGUCAGCCUGCUCCACCAGGCUGAGGUGCUGGGUGAUGAGAAGCACUGAGCGGGAGUACCGCUCAGGGCUUUCGUACAGGAGCUGCUCCACCUGAGGAAAGACAUCGGACCGUCAGAGCCGGGGACUACCCUCAGCCCAGGGAGACACCUGUGUUUCCAGGGCUGGGACUGACCUCACAGGAUCACUGCUGGCUCUGCUAACAACCCCAAGGACACCAACGUUUCCCAUUCUGAGUACUUCUCCGCAAACCCUUUGUUUCAUUAAGGACUGUUUUACAUGAAGGGUGCAAAAGUAGGAUAAAAAUGAGAACCCUAGGGUGAAACACGUGACAGAAGAAUAAAGACUAUUGAAUAGUCCUCUUCUCUACCCAUGGACUUGGCAUUUUUAUAUUCGAUUUUAAGGAAAUAUAACUUAGUAGUAAAGAGAUGAGCAUUCAAGUCAGGCAGACCUGAAUUUGGGUCAAGGCUGCGCCACUCAAAAGCUAUAUGACCUCUAUAUGAGCAGCUUAUUCAACCUCUUUUAACCUCCAUUUUGUCAUCUGUAGAAUGAUGAUAAAUGCCUAGCUCAGAAGGAUUCCUAAUGAAUAAAUGAGUGACAGUGCAUGUAAACAGACUAGCUUAAUUAAUAUUAAUAUGAUUAGGAUGGGCUGGGCCCAGUGGCUCAUGCCUAUAAUCCUAGCACUUUGGGAGGUCAAGGAGGGAGGAUCACUUGGGCCCAGGAGUUCAAGGCCAGCCUGGGCAACAUAGCGGGACGCUGUCUGUACAAAAAAUAAUUUUUUUAAAUAAACGAUAUUAUGAGGAUGGUC